rnacentral:rRNA from 1 species
CUCGAACACUCCUACGGGAGGCAGCAGUGGGGAAUAUUGCACAAUGGGCGCAAGCCUGAUGCAGCCAUGCCGCGUGUGUGAAGAAGGCCUUCGGGUUGUAAAGCACUUUCAGUCGUGAGGAAGGUAGUGUAGUUAAUAGCUGCAUUAUUUGACGUUUAGCGACAGAAGAAGCACCGGCUAACUCCGUGCCAGCAGCCGCGGUAAUACGGAGGGUGCGAGCGUUAAUCGGAAUUACUGGGCGUAAAGCGCAUGCAGGUGGUUUGUUAAGUCAGAUGUGAAAGCCCGGGGCUCAACCUCGGAAUUGCAUUUGAAACUGGCAGACUAGAGUACUGUAGAGGGGGUAGAAUUUCAGGUGUAGCGGUGAAAUGCGUAGAGAUCUGAAGGAAUACCGGUGGCGAAGGCGGCCCCCUGGACAGAUACUGACACUCAGAUGCGAAAGCGUGGGGAGCAAACAGGAUUAGAUACCCUGGUAG